AAAUUGAAGAGUUUGAUCAUGGCUCAGAUUGAACGCUGGCGGCAGGCCUAACACAUGCAAGUCGAGCGGCAGCGGAAAGUAGCUUGCUACUUUGCCGGCGAGCGGCGGACGGGUGAGUAA
rnacentral:rRNA from 1 species